rnacentral:rRNA from 1 species
GACGAACGCUGGCGGCGUGCCUAAUACAUGCAAGUCGAGCGAGCAGAACCAGCAGAUUUACUUCGGUAAUGACGCUGGGGACGCGAGCGGCGGAUGGGUGAGUAACACGUGGGGAACCUGCCCCAUAGUCUGGGAUACCACUUGGAAACAGGUGCUAAUACCGGAUAAGAAAGCAGAUCGCAUGAUCAGCUUAUAAAAGGCGGCGUAAGCUGUCGCUAUGGGAUGGCCCCGCGGUGCAUUAGCUAGUUGGUAAGGCAACGGCUUACCAAGGCAAUGAUGCAUAGCCGAGUUGAGAGACUGAACGGCCACAUUGGGACUGAGACACGGCCCAAACUCCUACGGGAGGCAGCAGUAGGGAAUCUUCCACAAUGGACGCAAGUCUGAUGGAGCAACGCCGCGUGAGUGAAGAAGGUUUUCGGAUCGUAAAGCUCUGUUGUUGGUGAAGAAGGAUAGAGGCAGUAACUGGCCUUUAUUUGACGGUAAUCAACCAGAAAGUCACGGCUAACUACGUGCCAGCAGCCGCGGUAAUACGUAGGUGGCAAGCGUUGUCCGGAUUUAUUGGGCGUAAAGCGAGCGCAGGCGGAAGAAUAAGUCUGAUGUGAAAGCCCUCGGCUUAACCGAGGAAUUGCAUCGGAAACUGUUUUUCUUGAGUGCAGAAGAGGAGAGUGGAACUCCAUGUGUAGCGGUGGAAUGCGUAGAUAUAUGGAAGAACACCAGUGGCGAAGGCGGCUCUCUGGUCUGCAACUGACGCUGAGGCUCGAAAGCAUGGGUAGCGAACAGGAUUAGAUACCCUGGUAGUCCAUGCCGUAAACGAUGAGUGCUAAGUGUUGGGAGGUUUCCGCCUCUCAGUGCUGCAGCUAACGCAUUAAGCACUCCGCCUGGGGAGUACGACCGCAAGGUUGAAACUCAAAGGAAUUGACGGGGGCCCGCACAAGCGGUGGAGCAUGUGGUUUAAUUCGAAGCAACGCGAAGAACCUUACCAGGUCUUGACAUCUAGUGCCAUCCUAAGAGAUUAGGAGUUCCCUUCGGGGACGCUAAGACAGGUGGUGCAUGGCUGUCGUCAGCUCGUGUCGUGAGAUGUUGGGUUAAGUCCCGCAACGAGCGCAACCCUUGUUAUUAGUUGCCAGCAUUAAGUUGGGCACUCUAAUGAGACUGCCGGUGACAAACCGGAGGAAGGUGGGGAUGACGUCAAGUCAUCAUGCCCCUUAUGACCUGGGCUACACACGUGCUACAAUGGGCAGUACAACGAGAAGCGAGCCUGCGAAGGCAAGCGAAUCUCUGAAAGCUGUUCUCAGUUCGGACUGCAGUCUGCAACUCGACUGCACGAAGCUGGAAUCGCUAGUAAUCGCGGAUCAGAACGCCGCGGUGAAUACGUUCCCGGGCCUUGUACACACCGCCCGUCACACCAUGGAAGUCUGCAAUGCCCAAAGCCGGUGGCCUAACCUUCGGGAAGGAGCCGUCUAAGGCAGGGCAGAUGACUGGGGUGAAG